CUAGCCGUUUUGAUACAUAGUUGGUUGAUACCAAAAACAUUCUUUGGUUGAUACCACGCUGUACCUAGCAAUAAAACAGUGUACCGAUUUUAAAUUUCUGAUAAAUAUGGAUAACUACUUAAUAUGUACCGAUGAUCAAGGUCAACCGAUUUUGGAUGAAAGUGGAAAAACGAUACUUUUUUGCCCGCAAACAGGUGCUUUAAAAGUUAUGGAAGACCCAUCAACUUCAUGUACAAGUGAUAUCAACAAUGAAACACAAGAAAGUACUGGA